rnacentral:rRNA from 1 species
GACGAACGCUGGCGGCGUGCCUAAUACAUGCAAGUCGAGCGGACCGAACAGGAGCUUGCUCUUGUUCGGUUAGCGGCGGACGGGUGAGUAACACGUGGGUAACCUGCCCGUAAGACCGGGAUAACUCCGGGAAACCGGAGCUAAUACCGGAUAACACCGAAGACCGCAUGGUCUUUGGUUGAAAGGCGGCUUCGGCUGCCACUUACGGAUGGGCCCGCGGCGCAUUAGCUAGUUGGUGAGGUAACGGCUCACCAAGGCGACGAUGCGUAGCCGGCCUGAGAGGGUGACCGGCCACACUGGGACUGAGACACGGCCCAGACUCCUCCGGGAGGCAGCAGUAGGGAAUCUUCCGCAAUGGACGAAAGUCUGACGGAGCGACGCCGCGUGAGCGAAGAAGGUCUUCGGAUCGUAAAGCUCGGUUGUUAGGGAAGAAGAAGCGUCGUUCGAACAGGGCGGCGCGGUGACGGUACCUAACGAGAAAGCCCCGGCUAACUACGUG